rnacentral:rRNA from 1 species
GUACAGCGAUGUAUGGAGCGGACUAGUACUAAUCGGUCGAGGACUUAACCAAA